UCCCCUGUAGCUCAGUGGCAGAGCAAGCGGCUGUUAACCGCUAGGCCGUUGGUUCGAAUCCGACCGGGGGAGCCA
rnacentral:tRNA from 1 species